GGAGUGGACGCCGAGGAGCGUUCGGCUGAUAACCGAAAGGUCGAGAGUUCAAAUCUCUCCCGGCCCA
rnacentral:tRNA from 1 species